AUGUGCAUGCUGAUGGUUUUUUUUUUGNUAGAACUCUUCCCCUUACCUCCUUUUUUGUCUCAGUACCCCUGGGUUACCUUUGCUUUCUAUUUUUUUCCCCUUUUAAUUUCUCUGAUAUCAGAAACUUCUGAAAUCGUUUUCCACCUCUGCUCUCAGGUACCACCCCAAGAAGAAAGCCUAAGUACUUCCACAGAUUAUUACCCACUGUGCAGAUUUACAGUACCAUGGCCAUGCUUAUUUCUGCUGCACUUGCAGCACUGCCAUGCUGGUCAGAUUCCCAUUUUUCUUGAUGCAUCAAUCCAAGCAGCAAAAGAAAAGGAUUCCUAUGUACAACUCUACCCCAGUUUCCACUGUUCUUGAUACUGGCUUGUUUCAUGCUUUCAUGUAUGGGCUGAAGAAAGAAUGCUUCAGAAAAGAGAAGUAUAUAUAACUGAAAAAAUAAUAUAAAUUAAGGGCCUUCUUGCUUUCACUUAGACAGCUCAGGGCAGGUGCCACAGAGUGUACUGAUAUUUAUGGACUAAGCCCACUGCAGGAGAAAGGUGGCAUUAGCAAAUUUAUAUUAAGUAUGAAACCCAGGCCACUGAUCAAGUCCCAGGUAUUACACAUUUAAGUAUAAAUGUGUGAUAGCCACAGUGACUUAGAUGGUCCCUAUAGAGUCUAUUGCUUGGAGUGUACCCUAGAACAGUGAAAUGAGUGCAAUCUCACCCUGAGUCACAUGGCUGGGUCUCCCGAUACAAAGCCUUUUGGAAGAAAAAUCUAAAAUAAAGCAUUUGAAACCCUAGGUCAAGGAAUUACACUGACUUUACUGCAGUCUUUCUUGCAAGGAGAGACGAAAUAUCAGCCUUUUGCCUUCAGCAUAACUGUGUGGAAGACUACAGAAGCAACACGUCACUAAAAACUAAAGCAGUUACGGCUCAGACCCUAACUGGUGCUGGAACUGUACCUGUGCUGUUCUGUUACAGGAAAGGUCUUAGCUGGGCCUCUGUAGAGCAUUUCCUUAGCUAGCUUGGAAGCUGGGACCAGCAGACACUUUGGAUGAGGCCACCCUGCUUUGAAGUCUGAAAGAGCUGGAGAGUAUGACUGUGGGCCACUUCGUUAGCUUUCUUUACAUCGAGGCAUAUGGAUAAUUGCCACCAGCACGCUGGGUGAACAACAGAGCCGUGUGCUCUGAAAUGAAUAUGCUGCCCGUUUCCUCACCUUUCAUGGCACAGCACAGAUGAGAUAAUGGACAAAACUGCUUGCUCGGAUGAUUUAUUUGGUUGGGUUUUUUUCUAUUUAGUAAGUGCUUUGCUUAUGAAAAGACAAACCCACCUACCCAGCCAACCACUCUUCGUGCCAGCCAGAAGUCACGGAAAAAACGCAUUAGAAAGCGUAUUUAAGCAGCACCUCUCACCACCCGCCCGCUGAGCGCGGCAGCCUUCCCGCGGCCGCCCCCGGGUGCAGUUGGCUAGCGCGGCCGCACGGUGGCGCCCAGCCCCAGCAGAGCCGCUCCGCGCCGCACCGCACCACUCCGCACCGCAUCGCACCGCACCGUACCACACCGCUCCGCACCGCACCGCAGCGGAGCGCAGCAGCUCUCCGUGCUUCUGGCUGCGCUUGCAGAGAGAACAGCUACGGGCUGCCAGUGCUCCAUCGCCAGGGGGCCGUGCCGGCGCGGGGAUGACUUCCGCACACACAACUAUUUUCAUUUCGUGGAGUUUAAAAGCCUUGAGCGGUGACAGCAAACGCAAAGGGGAGAUGGAAAACAGAAACUUAAAGGCCGCACCGAUGCCUGUGACUACACUUUAUUUCUGGGGUGAAUUUAUUAUGUUUGCAUAACAUGCUGUACAAACUAUGUAAGAGCAAGGUACGAAUGCGUCCAUUGCCAUCCAGGGACGUGCUCUUUUGACAGGGAGAAAUGGGAAUUACAAAAAUCUCACAGAAGAUGCAUUGUAUUUCAGUGUCUAGGAUUUAAGUGAACCAUAAGUGAACCACUUGCCCUAUUGACACACAGUUCUGUAACAGUCUGCUGCAAACAACACAUCAGGCAAUUGGAUAUACUCAGUGAUGCGUUUGGCCUUCAAAUGGAUAUUUUAAAAUACAAUUUCUAGUAACAACCAUAUUGCUCCAAUCACUCUUUUUUGUUCUAUCCCCUAAUGCCAGUGCUGGCUAGCAAAAGAGGACGCUUCGGAUCCAACCCUGAGAGGCAGUAGCCACAGGACAUCAUUUAGGUGGAAAUGCUUGCAGGGAAAAAGCUUGAGGCAACACCCAGUGAAACAGUGAUAGCUGCGACAGGGACAGAGGGAAUCACUACCAGCAAUUUCACAGUGUGAGACUUUACAAUGCACAGCUUUAUUAACGCACCCAGUGUGAGCCAUCUGUUUAUAUUAAAGUACUUCCAUCCUGUCCCCCAAUCUGAAACCUCUGUCUUUUGCACUUGUUUAUUUUCCACAUUCAUUUUUUCAUUACUGUGACUUCCAAUAUCCCCGUAAAUUGAGUUCAAAAGGGCAUCUCAGUUCGUCUGCUACUUCUCCCAGGUUGUAAUUCCCCUGUUUCCUUUUGCUCAAAAGCUGGCAGGAGAGAGACCCAAACACGAUGAAUUUUUCCUUUAAGGAAGGGAAGCGGUUGAGUGCUGUUACAUUUUUCCAGUAAUGUCCAGUGAAGGCUUUUAUUUAACCACCUGCAAUAACCUCAGUUCCACUUUGGGCUUUAAAGCCAGCACCUGGGACGCAGCCAUUUCCCCUCUCUCUCGCUCCCGGUUGCUCUCCUAGCUUUUUCAGACCGGACACCCCGAGUGCCGGGGCCGGUGGUUGUGAGGCGGCGGGGCUGAGCCGGCCGGGCCGUGAGGCGAGCGGGGCCGGGCCGGGGGGCGAGCGGGGCCGGGCCGCGCGGCGAGUGGGGCCGGGCCGUGAGGCGGCCUCCGCGCGGGGCUGACGGCGCUCGGCAGGCAGCGGUGCCGCACCUCGGGACGAGCCCGGGGCAGAUCCCCCGGCCGCGCCGGCCGACAAGGCCCCCUCCGGUUUGUGCCGGCACCCCGGCACUGAGUGGCGGCUUUGCGGCAGGGCGGGUCGGGUCCCUGUCGUGGCCCCGAUUGCGCCGCUGCCCGCCCCACCGCUCGGGAUGACCGGGCCCCGCCGCCCCCAAGCGCGUCUCCAGCCACCCCACAGCCACCGGCCCCGAUGCCCCCAGCCCGACCCGGUCACCGCCAACCAAGCCCGGCGCCGCGCCGCCCCGCCGCCGCCCCCGCCGCUGCCGCUGCCGCGGGCCGGGGGUCGCUCGCGCCCUGCUGCGCCCUGCUCCCCCCGCCUGCCCGUGCCCCGCCUCCCGCCCGCAGCGCUCCGCCAAUCGCGACGCUCUCCG
rnacentral:lncRNA from 1 species